CACGUAGGGCGCGAGCGUUGUCCGGAAUUAUUGGGCGUAAAGAGCUCGUAGGCGGCCUGUUGCGUCCGCUGUGAAAGCCCGGGGCUUAACCCCGGGUCGGCAGUGGAUACGGGCAGGCUAGAGGUAGGUAGGGGAGAAUGGAAUUCCCGGUGUAGCAGUGAAAUGCGCAGAUAUCGGGAGGAACACCGGUGGCGAAGGCGGUUCUCUGGGCCUUACCUGACGCUGAGGAGCGAAAGCGUGGGGAGCGAACAGG
rnacentral:rRNA from 1 species